rnacentral:rRNA from 1 species
AUGGCGUCCCCUUCCACGUCCACCAUCUUCUCCACCCUUCUUCUCUUCCUGAUGCAUUUCAACACCUCUCCGGCGACGGCCUUCUACCUCCCGGGGAGCUACCCGCACCGCUACCUCCCGGGCGAGGCCCUCGCCGCCAAGGUGAAUUCGCUCACCUCGCAGUCCUCCAAGCUGCCGUUCCCCUACUACUCCCUCCCCUUCUGCGCGCCGCAGGGCGGUGUCAACCGCGCCGCCGAGAGCCUCGGCGAGCUCCUCCUCGGGGACCGCAUCGAGACGUCGCCCUACCGCUUCUCCAUGCUCACCAACAGCACCGCCGCCUUGUUCCUCUGCCGCACCGACCCGGUCUCCCCCGCCGCCGCCGACCUCAUCAGGUCCCGCAUCGACGACGCCUACCACGUCAACCUCCUCCUCGACACGCUCCCCGUCGUCCGGUACGUGAAUAAUCCCAUCGCGCCGGACGUGCUGCUCCGGUCCACGGGUUUCCCCGUCGGCGUGCGCGCCGACGACGGGGAGUACUACGUCUACAACCACCUCAGGCUCACGGUUCUGGUCAACAAGCAGAGGAACGGCACCACAAGGGUGGAGGCCUUGAUGGCCACCGCCGACGCGUCUGAGCUCAUCGGCUUAUCCGGCGGCGGCGGCGGUGGGUACAGCGUCGUCGGGUUCGAGGUGGUGCCGUGCAGCGUGGAGCACGACGAGGCGGCCGUCGGCGACAAGAAGAUGUACGACGGCUUCUCGUCCAAGGCGGCCGCCGGGUGCGACCCUUCUGUGGUGGGCAUGCGCGUGCAGGCCAACAGGCCGCUGGCCUUCUCGUACGAGGUGGCCUUCGUGGAGAGCGCCGUGGAGUGGCCGUCGCGCUGGGACGCGUACCUGGAGAUGGGCGGCGCCCAGGUGCACUGGUUCUCCAUCCUCAACUCCAUCGUGGUGGUGGCGUUCCUGGCGGCCAUCGUGCUGGUCAUCCUGCUGCGCACCGUGCGGCGCGACCUGGCGCAGUACGAGGAGCUCGGCAGCGAGGCGGCGCCGCACGCGGACGACAUGGCCGGGUGGAAGCUCGUGGCCGGGGACGCGUUCCGGGAGCCCAGCCACCCGGUGCUCCUGUGCGUGAUGGUGGGCGACGGCGUGCGCAUCCUGGGCAUGGGCGUGGUCACCAUCCUGUUCGCGGCGCUCGGGUUCAUGUCGCCGGCGUCCCGGGGCGCGCUCGUGACCGGCAUGCUCUGCUUGUACCUCGUCCUGGGCCUCGCGGCCGGGUACACGUCCGUGCGGCUGUGGAAGACGGUGCGGCACGGCGACAGCUCCGGGUGGAAGGCCGUGGCGUGGCGGGCCUCGUUCGUGUUCCCGGGCAUCGGGUUCUCCGUCUUCACCGCGCUCAACUGCGUGCUCUGGUACAACGGCAGCACGGGCGCUGUGCCGUUCGCGCUGUUCGUGGUGCUGAUCCUGCUCUGGUUCUUCGUGUCGGUGCCGCUGACCCUGGCCGGCGGCCUGCUGGCGUCGCGCGUGCGCGGCCACGUGGAGUACCCCGUGAAGACGAACAAGAUCGCGCGGCAGGUGCCGGCGGCGCAGUGCUCGCCGUGGGUUUUCGUGGCGGUGGCGGGGACGCUGCCGUUCGGGACGCUCUUCAUCGAGCUCUUCUUCAUCAUGUCGAGCCUGUGGCUGGGGCGGGUGUACUACGUGUUCGGGUUCCUGCUGGUGGUGCUGGGGCUGCUGGUGGCGGUGUGUGCGGAGGUGUCGGUGGUGCUCACGUACAUGGGGCUGUGCGUGGAGGACUGGCGGUGGUGGUGGCGCUCCUUCUUCGCCUCCGGCUCCGUGGCCGCCUACAUCCUCGGGUACGCCGUGUACUACCUGGUGUUCGACCUGCACAGCCUCAGCGGCCCGGUGUCCGCCGCGCUCUACGUCGGGUACUCGCUGCUCAUGGCGCUCGCCGUCAUGCUGGCCACCGGCGCCGUCGGGCUUGGCGCCUCCUUCUGCUUCGUCUACUACCUCUUCUCCACCGUCAAGCUCGACUGA